UUAUUUUCGUUGCAUUAAACUAGUUUGUAAAUUGUACCCUACAGGUAAACUAACACUUUAUUUCCCCCCAGUAGUGAAUUCUGGCAUUAAACAACUGAGAGGAAGGUGCUAAAGUGGAUGGCUCCCUUUAUGGAAGAAUGAUGGAUGGUAGAAACUCUAUUGGGGGAAGGAAAAGAAGAAAAAAAUUGUUUCUCAACUGAACUGGUAUAUCAGCUGUUUCCUGCAGAUUUAGUGAUAAUUCAUCUAUCUUCUCAUGAAGACUGAGAAUUACAAGGUCAGUUCACAAACUGGACAUUCAUAAACAAUAAUGAAUUCAUUAAUU
rnacentral:lncRNA from 10 species